AGAUAAACUGAUGCAUUGUCUAAAUUGAAACCAAACAAAACGCAAACAUAAGCUGAUUAAUUGUCUAAAUUCAAAAGAGAACAAAACACAAACAUUUCAAUUGUUGUUAAAGUUAUCAGAAACAUACAACUACAGUCUACAAGCAUCAGAAAGACAUCAUGUUCCUGUUACAUUGAAAAAAAGAUUCAUCAAUACCAAAAAUAAUUCAGACAGAGAAAAAACAGUUUAGAUUAUUACCCAAAAGCCGAGUAUGAGUCAUAUAGAUCUACUCGUUUACUCCUAAUGCUCCAAACUCUGAAAAUCAUUUAGAGAACACAAUUUCAGUAGGUAAAAGCAUACAAUGCUACAAGUAUAAUUGAGAAAUAAAGUAAAACCAACCUUUCUCCAGCUCAUCUUGUGUCACAAAGUCAGCAUAUAUAUAAGACAGAGUCAUA
rnacentral:lncRNA from 1 species